UACGAGGGGUGCAAGCGUUAUUCGGAUUUAUUGGGCGUAAAGGGUGCGUAGACGGCAUGCUAAGUCAACUGUUAAAUUCCUCGGCCUAACUGAGGAUCAGCGGUAGAAACUGGCGCGCUUGAGGGUGAGAGAGAGAAGUGGAAUUCUCGGAGUAGCGGUAAAAUGCGUAGAUCUCGAGAGGAACACCGAUGGCGAAGGCAGCUUCUUGGCUCAUACCUGACGUUGAGGCACGAAAGCGUGGGGAGCAAACAGG
rnacentral:rRNA from 1 species